rnacentral:rRNA from 1 species
GUGGGGAAUAUUGGGCAAUGGGCGCAAGCCUGACCCAGCAACGCCGCGUGAAGGAAGAAGGCUUUCGGGUUGUAAACUUCUUUUAACAGGGACGAAGUAAGUGACGGUACCUGUUGAAUAAGCCACGGCUAACUACGUGCCAGCAGCCGCGGUAAUACGUAGGUGGCAAGCGUUAUCCGGAUUUACUGGGUGUAAAGGGCGUGUAGGCGGGACUGCAAGUCAGAUGUGAAAACUAUGGGCUCAACCCAUAGCCUGCAUUUGAAACUGUAGUUCUUGAGUGUCGGAGAGGCAAUCGGAAUUCCGUGUGUAGCGGUGAAAUGCGUAGAUAUACGGAGGAACACCAGUGGCGAAGGCGGAUUGCUGGACGAUAACUGACGCUGAGGCGCGAAAGCGUGGGGAGCAAACAGGAUUAGAAACCCUGGUAGUCC